rnacentral:rRNA from 1 species
AUUGAACGCUGGCGGCAGGCCUAACACAUGCAAGUCGAGCGGAGCGGCGGACGGGUGAGUAAUGCCUAGGAAUCUGCCUGGUAGUGGGGGAUAACGUCCGGAAACGGGCGCUAAUACCGCAUACUAUCAGAUGAGCCUAGGUGGGAUUAGCUAGUUGGUGGGGUAAAGGCCUACCAAGGCGACGAUCCGUAACUGGUCUGAGAGGAUGAUCAGUCACCCUGGAACUGAGACACGUUCCAGCCUCCUCCGGGCGGCAGAAGUGGGGAAUUUUGGCCAAUGGGCGAAAGCCUGAUCCAGCCAUCCCGCGUGUUUGAAGAAGGUCUUCGGAUUGUAAAGCCUUUUAAUUUGGGAGGCGUUACCAACAGAAUAAGCACCGGCUAACUUCGUGCCAGCAGCCGCGGUAAUAC